UAGCCUCUCUCCAGCCUCCCUCCUGAGUGCUCAGACUCAUUAGUGGUCCACCCAACACCCACUCCUCCCCUCCGCCUUGCCAGGAGAACCUCCACUUGUUAUAGUGGAGCCCAUUCUCCUUGCAGUUGGAGGCACACUAGAGCAGAAGUCCAAGGGUUUGUGAAGAAUCUUUGACUUUCCUGAUAAAAGGCACAGAUAUGCCCGCAGCCUCCUCUUUCGUCACUUCUUGCUGUCUGGAAAAUAGACCAGAUGUCUGGAACUGCAGCAGCCCUAUGAAACCAAAGGAAGUGAGCCAGAGGAGAGAGUCCACCUGACAAGAUGAGGACAAACAGGAGGCAGGAUGGCCCGGUCCGGCAACAGAAGCAAGGCCAGCUACCCCUGGGUCCUCAGCAUGCAGGACCCACAAGGGCUCUUGCCGGGGACUCCAGCCUCUCUGCUACCAGCAGCAGACACAGAACAGCCCAACACUCAGGCCACACCUUCAUUCAAGGAGCAUAUGGUGGUAGGGGGAAUCAAACUUCAGAGUUUAGAAGCUCCUGAAUGUUUCCCUCGAUGUACUGACUUGGGGAAUUGCUACAUUGCCCUCUGGACUAUUUCGGGAGAAUGUGAGUUGGGAUCCGUGAAAGAGACAUUAAUAGAUGUGAACACUUUACCAGGAUGCAACAAAGCUGUGUUCAUAAGGAGCCGACUGGGGUCCAUCUGUUUAAUUCUCUUCUCUUCUUGAGAGAAAAUAACACAACUAUGUCAAAGUAACCCUGAGGAUGGACUCACAUCGGCCUUUCUCGUGUCCAGCGUGUGGAAAGACAGCUCAACACCAGAGCUGCGGGUAUUGUGUAUAAAUACCCCAUACCUCCAAGACUUCUUGAAUACAUUCAUAUGGACCCUCAACCUCCAGAAUGCUUUCCUGUGGCCAAAGGAGUGAGUGCAGGUGUGUGGGAAGGCUGGAGAAGAGAUGGACACCGUCAGGACAUCGUCCCACGGGGCAGCCCAGAGGAAGCAGUGGGAGAGACCAGGACGAGAUGGUCCCAGUUCAGUUUGGGUUGAGGCCUCCGAUUUCUAUGCUAACGUCCUCAGCCCCAGCACCUCAACAUGUGAUCUUAUUUGCAGAGGUAGCUAGUUAAGAUGAGGUCAGCCUGGAACUGGGUGGACCUCUAGUGCAGUAUGUCUACAGUCCAUACAAAAAACUGAAACUGGGGGACAAGUGGACAGACGCAAGCCCAAGGUGAUGCCAGGUACAGGUGGAGGCAGAGAUUUGGGUGUGCUGUAGUGUUCGGGUGCCAGCACACCCAGAGGCCAGGGAGACGUUGCCCACUCUUCCUGGCAGCCUGCGGACACCUUGGUAUCCACCUUCCUGCCUGCAGAACUGGGAGAUGACAAAUUGCUGCUAAGUCUCCUAGUUGGUGGCACUUUGUUAGAACAGCCCUGACCAACGAAUAUGUCCUUUAAGGACACUGACCUUGAUGACUAGGACGUUUCCCACACGUCUGCUGUUUUCUUCAUGCGUUUUUCUUUCCUUUGUAGAACAGUUAUUGGGCCGCAUGUUGACCACCCUGCUGAGCCCUUCCUUGGCCCCAAGAGUCUUGUUCCUGGGAGGGAAUGUGCCCGUACCUUGGUGUGUCCUUAAGGCUGCCACGUGCUGAGUUAGGUGAUGUAGGAGCAUGGUGUGCAUGCAGUAAGUGUGUAUGUGAGAGUGUGUGCAGUAUAUGUGUGUGAGUGCAUGAGAGUGAACACGUCCACGUGUGUACCUGCAAGUGUGCACAUCAGUGUGACUGUUCCUGGGUGUGAGCGUGUGUGAGCAGGAGUGAGGUCUCAGAGGCUCACACACCUGUCUGAGGCUCGGCCCCUUGUUGUUCUGGAGGUGGAGGCUGAGUUUAUCCCUGGAGAGAAGGAAACCUGCCCAAAGUUCCCACACAGGGGCCUGCGAGGGGCGGCUCCACCCUCUGAAGGGCCCAGAGUUUUCCAGUGGGGCCCUGCGGGGGUCCAGCUAGGACUGGACUGGACUCACAGCUGGGACCAACAUGAGAGAAAGGAAAGAGCAUUAAGCUUUUCCAACUGCCUCCCUGUUUUCACCCCUGGGGAUUCACCAGGAGUGGUGAGGCCGCAGAUGGGAGAGUUAUGCAGCCAUUGAAGGUCCACUUGGAGGAAUUUUUAAUCCCAGGGGAAGCUGCUUGUGGGUGGAAAGUAGAGCGACCUUCAACUCAGGAGUCCCGCAGACUCACUCAGUCCACAUCUGGGCUCACGGAUUGCUGGCGGUAUGUCCUCGGGCACCACCGCCCCUCCCUGCCUCGGGUUCUGUAAGAUGGGCCCCACAAGCCCACCAGCCCCAGAGGCAGUGGGUGACACUGAGGGGUUCCCAGCACCAGAAGCCCUGACCUGUGGCAUCUGCUGACUGUCAUGACCACCAUUCCCAGGAUGACCAAUAUCAAGCUCCUGAUGGUUUUAUGACUUACAAAAUUUCAGAAAACUUUGCACCCACACAAGCCAGGGGAGCUGACCCAGCUCACCUCCAGAGGGUUAUUCAGGAGAUUAAGGACUGUACAGACCGAACACUGAGCAACACCUAGCCCGAGAGACAAAUGGGAGCUGUCAUUACUAUUGUAUUUUAUCACAUCGUCAUAGAUACAUAAGUGCAAUAAAACGAGUGGCCAGUA